UAUGGAUGGUAAGAUGACACUUCUGUGGCAACCUUGCAGAAAAACAUGAGCAACAAUCUCAUGAGACCAAAACUGUUGGUGGAGACUUCAAAUCCCUAUCUUCAUCUAGAAAAGUUUUGGUUUAUGGCCUCUGGAAGGAGGCACAAUUAAGGAAUUGCUCGGAUCAUUGACAAAUCACAUAAGGGAAGAAGAAAGUGGGUUUGGUUCAUUGGAUGUGAUCAUGGCCAGCUGUCCUGAAGGAAGAGAGAGGAUAAAUUUCCUCUGGAUGCUCUGCAGUACAAUCAAUGUCACUCCUGAUGCCAUGGUUGGGCAGGAUGCUGAUUCUGAUUAUGAAAGCUACUUCCUGCUCACCCAUGAUAAUGAAGGAGACAGUGGAAAGAACAAUCAAUCAACAAAUCAGCAAAAAAGUAUGGGCUUCCUUCUACUUUGUGCCCAGCAUUGCGCUAAGAAAUAUGGGAGAUACAAGUAUAGGGACAAUGUGGAAAGAUUUGAG